GCUCUUUCUCUCUCAAUCUCACUCCCUCUUUCUCUCAAUCUCUCUGUCUCUCAAUUUCUCUAACCCCAUCUGUUUCUCUGUCUUCCUCUCCAUUUCUCUUUCUCUGUGUGUCUCUCUUAAUUUCUCUCUCUCUUUAUCUCAAUCUCUCUCUGUCUCUCACUGAAUUUCUCUGUGUGUGUGUGUGUGUGUCUCAAUUUCUCUCUCUUUAUCUCAAUCUCUCUCUGUCUCUCACUCAAUUUCUCUAACCCCAUCUGUUUCUCUGUCUUCCUCUCAAUUUCUCUUUCUCUGUGUGUCUCUCUCAAUUUCUCUCUCUGUUUAUCUCAAUCUCUCUCUGUCUCUCUCUCAAUUUCUCUCUCUGUGUGUGUCUCUCAAUUUCUCUCUCUUUAUCUCAAUCUCUCUCUAUCUCUCUCAAUUUCUCUAACCCCAUCUGUUUCUCUGUCUUUUCUCUCAGUUUCUCUUUCUCUGUGUGUCUCUCUCAAUUUCUCUCUCUGUUUAUCUCAAUCUCUCUCUGUCUCUCUCAAUUUCUCUAACCCCAUCUGUUUCUCUGUCUUUUCUCUCAAUUUCUCUUUCUCUGUGUCUAUCUCAAUUUCUCUCUCUCUUUAUAUCAAUCUCUCUCUGUCUCUCACUCAAUUUCUCUCUCUGUGUGUGUGUCUCAAUUUCUCUCUCUUUAUCUCAAUCUCUCUCUAUCUCUCCUCAUUUCUCUCUUACAUCUGUUUCUCUGUCUUUCUCUCAAUUUCUCUUUCUCUGUGUGUUUCUCUCAAUUUCUCUCUCUUUAUCUCAAUCUCUCUCUGUCUCUCACUCAAUUUCUCAAACCCCAUCUGUUUCUCUGUCUUCCUCUCAAUUUCUUUCUCUGUGUGUCUCUCUCAAUUUUUCUCUCUCUUUAUAUCAAUCUCUCUCUGUCUCUCACUCAAUUUCUCUCUGUGUGUGUGUGUCUCUCAAUUUCUCUCUCUUUCUCUCAAUCUCUCUCUGUCUCUCUCAAUUUCUCUAACCCCAUCUGUUUCUCUGUCUUUCUCUCAAUUUCUCUUUCUCUGUGUGUUUCUCUCAAUUUCUCUCUCAUCUCAAUCUCUCUCUGUCUCUCACUCAAUUUCCCUAACCCCAUCUGUUUCUCUCUCUAUUUCUCUCUUUCUCUCUCUCUCUCUCCAGCUCUCUAUCUUUUCUCUCUUAAUCACUCUGUCACAC
rnacentral:lncRNA from 1 species